GGAAACAGCCCAGACCGCCAGCUAAGGUCCCUAAUGUGUGCUAAGUGCAGAAAAGGAACUGAAGUCUCUAAGACAGUCAGGAUGUUGGCUUAGAAGCAGCCAUCAUUUAAAGAGUGCGUAACAGCUCACUGAUCGAGAGGCUUUGGGCCGAAAAUGAACGGGGCUCAAGUGCACAACCGAAGCUGCGGCUUGUAUCAGAUCGUUGAUCUGAUGCAGGGGUAGGGGAGCGUUCUAACUGGGUGAAGGGAUACGGUAACGAGUCCUGGACGGUUUAGAAGUGAUUAUGCCGGAAUGAGUAGCGAUAAAGCAGGUGAGAAUCCUGCUCGCCGAAAACCUAAGGUUUCCUGGGCACGGUAAAUCCGCCCAGGGUUAGUCGGUCCCUAAGGCGAGGCCGAAAGGCGUAGUCGAUGGGUAACGGGUUAAUAUUCCCGUACUGCUGACAGACGUUUGACCAAUGGGGUGACGCGGAAGUGAUAGCAAUCAGGGUGACUGAAGUCCCUGUGUAAGGCCGAGGGUGGUGUGUAGGUAAAUCCGCACACGGAAGCCCGGAGUUGAUGCCGAGUGCGUAUGCGCGAAGUUGCCUGAUCAACCGCCGAGAAAAACCUCUAGGGAGUCUUGUUAGUAUCCGUACCAAAACUGACACAGGUAGGUGGGGUGAGAAUCCUAAGGCGCUCGAGAUAACUGCUGUUAAGGAACUCGGCAAAAUGACCCCGUAACUUCGGGAGAAGGGGUGCCGUUGAGUGUGUAGGUCCUCGCGAUCGAAGCAUUUGGCGGCCGCAGAGAAUUGGCCCAAACAACUGUUUACUAAAAACACAGGUCUGUGCUAACUCCUAACGAGGAAGUAUACAGACUGACGCCUGCCCAAUGCCGGAAGGUUAAGGGGAGUGGUUAGCGCAAGCGAAGCUGCGAACUGAAGCCCCGGUGAAUGGCGGCCGUAACUAUGACGGUCCUAAGGUAGCGAAGUUCCUUGUCGGGUAAGUUCCGACCCGCACGAAAGGCGUAAUGAUUUGGGCACUGUCUCAACAGCAGACUCGGCGAAAUUGUAGUCGUGGUGAAGAUGCCACGUUCCCGCACUAAGACGGAAAGACCCCGUGAACCUUUACUGCAGCCUGAUAUUGGUGCUUGAUGCAUAGUGUGUAGCAUAGGUGGGAGGCGUUGAAGCGGAGCUUUCGGGCUGUGUGGAGCCAUCAGUGAAAUACCACUCUCUAUGUAUUAGGUCUCUAACGCGUAUGUCUGAAUCGGCUACGCGAACAGUUUCAGGUGGGUAGUUUGGCUGGGGCGGUCUCCUCCUAAAAGGUAACGGAGGAGCGCGAUGGUACACUCAGCGUGGUUAGCAAUCACGCGUAGAGCGCAAGGGUAUAAGUGUGCCUGACUGCGAGAGAUAUAGCUCGAGCAGAUACGAAAGUAGGUCCUAGUGAUCCGGCGGAUUCCGAGUGGAAGGGCCGUCGCUCAUCAGAUAAAAGGUACUCCGGGGAUAACAGGCUGAUCUCCCCCAAGAGUUCAUAUCGACGGGGAGGUUUGGCACCUCGAUGUCGGCUCAUCGCAUCCUGGGGCUGAAGGCGGUCCCAAGGGUUAGGCUGUUCGCCUAUUAAAGCGGUACGUGAGCUGGGUUUAGACCGUCGUGAGACAGGUCGGUCCCUAUCUAGUGUGGGUGUAGGAUGACUGAGGAGGUUUUCCCCUAGUACGAGAGGAUUGGGGAGGACGAACCGCUGGUGCUCCAGUUAUCACGCAAGUGGUACAGCUGGGUAGCUACGUUCGGAACGGAUAAGCGCUGAAUGCAUCUAAGCGCGAAGCCUUCUCCAAGACGAGUCAUCCCAAUGAGUCCCCUGGAAGACUACCAGGUUGAUAGGCAGGCGGUGUACGCGCAGCAAUGCGUUUAGCUUACCUGUACUAAUCGGACCAACAGAUCGGAAG
rnacentral:rRNA from 1 species